CCUACGGGGGGCAGCAGUGGGGAAUAUUGCACAAUGGGCGCAAGCCUGAUGCAGCCAUGCCGCGUGUGUGAAGAAGGCCUUCGGGUUGUAAAGCACUUUCAGCGGGGAGGAAGGCGUUAAGGUUAAUAACCUUGGCGAUUGACGUUACCCGCAGAAGAAGCACCGGCUAACUCCGUGCCAGCAGCCGCGGUAAUACGGAGGGUGCAAGCGUUAAUCGGAAUUACUGGGCGUAAAGCGCACGCAGGCGGUCUGUCAAGUCGGAUGUGGAAUCCCCGGGCUCAACCUGGGAACUGCGUUCGAAACUGGCAGGCUAGAGUCUUGUAGAGGGGGGUAGAAUUCCAGGUGUAGCGGUGAAAUGCGUAGAGAUCUGGAGGAAUACCGGUGGCGAAGGCGGCCCCCUGGACAAAGACUGACGCUCAGGUGCGAAAGCGUGGGGAGCAAACAGGAUUAGAUACCCGAGUAGUC
rnacentral:rRNA from 1 species